rnacentral:rRNA from 1 species
UACGGAAGGCAGCAGUGGGGAAUAUUGCACAAUGGGCGAAAGCCUGAUGCAGCUAUGCCGCGUGUAUGAAGAAGGCCUUAGGGUUGUAAAGUACUUUUCAUCGGGGAGGAAAAAACAAAAACUAAUAAUUUUAUUUCUUGACGUUACCCGAAAAAGAAGCACCGGCUAACUCCGUGCCAGCAGCCGCGGUAAUACGGAGGGUGCUAGCGUUAAUCAGAAUUACUGGGCGUAAAGAGCAUGUAGGUGGUUUUUUUAAGUUCAGAUGUGAAAUCCCUGGGCUUAACCUGGAACUGCAUUUUGAAACUGAAAUACUAGAGUAUCGUAGAGGGAGGUAGAAUUCUAGGUGUAGCGGUGAAAUGCGUAGAUAUCUGGAGGAAUACCUGUGGCGAAAGCGGCCUCCUAAACGAAUACUGACACUGAGGUGCGAAAGCUGGGGAGCAAACAGGGAUUAGAUACC